rnacentral:rRNA from 1 species
GAAUCUUCUGCAAUGGACGAAAGUCUGACAGAGCGACGCCGCGUGCAGGAUGAAGGCCCUCGGGUUGUAAACUGCUGUCACUCGUGAAGAACGCCCAUGCCAACAACAUGGGCUGACGGUAGCGAGAGAGGAAGCCACGGCUAACUUCGUGCCAGCAGCCGCGGUAAGACGAAGGUGGCAACCGUUGCUCGGAUUCACUGGGCAUAAAGCGCGCGUAGGGGGCUUGGCAGGUCAUCGGUGAAAUCCCACGGCUCAACCGUGGAAUUGCCGAUGAAACCGCCUUGCUUGAGGACGGGAGGGGAGAGUGGAACUCUCGGUGUAGCGGUGAAAUGCGUAGAUAUCGAGAGGAACGCCGGUGGCGAAAGCGACUCUCUGGACCGUUCCUGACGCUGAGGCGCGAAAGCUAGGGGAGCAAACAGG